UACGGAGGGUGGCAAGCGUUUUAUCCGGGAUUCACUGGGGUUUAAAGGGUGCGUAGGUGGGGCUAGUAAGUCCGUGGUGAAAUCUCCAAGCUUAACUUGGGAAACUGCCGUGGGAUACUAUUAGUCUUUGAAUAUUUGUGGAGGUAAGCGGGAAUAUGUCAUGGUAGCGGUGAAAUGCUUAGAUAUGACAUAGAACACCGAUAGCGAAGGCAGCUUGCACAUUAUUAUCACUGAGGCACGAAAGCGUGGGGGAUCAAAACAGGG
rnacentral:rRNA from 1 species